rnacentral:lncRNA from 1 species
CAAAAGCCAAAUCUUCGAAACCUUAUGAGAUGUGAUAGGGUUACAAGGGUAAAACAGGAACUCAGAAUAAAAAUAAGUUAAUCGAGAAAGCUCCAAAUAAACACCACUCGUCCGCCUCUCUGUCUCUCACCAAAAUAAAAAACUCAAUCUCUCUCUCUCUCUCUCCAUCGAGAAACACUAAACUGCUAUAAUCAUUACCUCUCUUCGAUUUCUCAAACCCUAUCUGGCUCUCUACCCAUAUGCUUCAGAUCCGCAUUAAAAAAGCUAAGUUUUUUGUUAUGUCCUUCUUUCUUAUUUGAUCAGUUUGUUCUUGUUUCACGAUUUUAACCUGAGAUUUUUUAUAUAUUUUCUCCAGAUCUGCUAUCCGCAGUCAUCUGUUCAUAGGAAAAGAUCUGGCUUUACUUUUAGAGAUUAUCUCAGAUCCAGCCUUUUACCCAAUUGAAGGCAAGUUCACAUACUCUGUUUUUUUUGUCUUGGUUUUAAUUUCUCGGUUUUUUACAUGUAACAGAUGUUUUAAGCAUGAUUUUUUGUUUAAACAGUUUGUUUUUCCUACCCUUAAAACUUCUCUGAAUUAAUAUCCCAUUUAUAUGACCACUCUAAUGUCUUCUUAUACGACUACGCAAGUGUUGCAUAUUCUUGACCUUUUCACACUUCAUUUGCAUUUUAGUCUAACAAUAUAAAUCCGCAAAUAUCUUGUGUUUAUACUUAUUGAAAUUAGUCUUCCGACAUAUAUAAUCUAGGAUCUAUUUGGAUUAUUUGGGCCAUCAGUCUCAUUCGUUUCAUUAACAUCUGAGUCUUUGAACUUUGUUUAUCUUUCCUAGCUUGAUAUUUUAAUAUUAGUUUUUUUGCGCCUCUUUGUUUUUGAUCAUUUAUUCUCUCAAUUGGAUAGUAUAGUGAAGUAAAUAAUGUAGCUAUGACUUUACCUGUAGCAUUUACCUGUAGCAUCUUAAAAAUAUGAAUUAAAAAUGAUUUAGCUAAUUUGGGCUUAUGUUUAUAAGCAUAGAAGUUUAUACUACAAGUUCGUUUAGAUUUUUCCAGUAUCAACUCAAACAUAGUUUUUACUCAAGCAUAGUUUUUACUCAAGCAUAGUUUUUACUCACACUAAAACCCACAUGUAGUGUGCAAAAGUAAGUACCCCCCCACCUCUGUUCCUCACGGUUUUUCUGCAAAGGACCCACCCUCCUUGAACUUCAGCGUCCAUCACAAUGUCCCCAUCAUCAUCAAACCUGUACAAGCCAGUGGCGAUCCUAACAUUGUAGAAGUUGAUAGCAUUUUUGCAAGUGGAGGGAGCACUUGUGUUUCUCCACGUAUUGCUGUCUUGAUUAAAGCGGUUGUCAACUCUGUAAAGUCCCUCUACUUCAAUAGGUAGGUCCAUAUGCUGAAGAUUUAUCGCAGGAGCGACCACUACGGGAGCCGCCAUUGGAGAUUCUCUGUGAGAGAGAGAGAGAGAAAUAGUUUGAGAAUCAAUCUUCUGUAUUUUAUUGUGUAGAUCAAGUUAUUUAGUAUAUGCUAGUACUUAUGGUUAAAAUAGACUAUUAUUAAAAUUCAAAAGUAAUAAAGCCAACGAGUACACUAAACUCAGAUUAUAUUUUCCAAAACUAUUGCUAAAGAAUAUCAAUACGUACACUAGAUAUAGAAAUCGGAAUUAGGUACGUUGUGAUCCAUUUCAGCUACUGUUAGGGGUAAGAUUUGGGCUUGCUUGGCCCAAGGCCCAAAUCCAAGUCAAAGGCCUAAGCAGAAUGUUAAGUCAAGAGGGUAGGCUCGUCAAAAUCCUGGAGGAGUGUCCUACACGCAGAAGGCUAUAAAUACGGAAUAGCAUGUCUUGUCAAAGGGGGAUUCCGCCGGACACGCAGAGACACAGAGCAGCUCGUCAGCUCACCCGUCCGAAGUAUCCCG